rnacentral:rRNA from 1 species
UACGUAGGGACCAAGCGUUGUUCGGAUUUACUGGGCGUAAAGGGCGCGUAGGCGGCUUGGUCAGUCCCGUGUGAAAUCCCUCGGCUCAACUGAGGAACUGCACGGGAAACUGCCUGGCUUGAGUUCGGGAGAGGGAAGCGGAAUUCCGGGUGUAGCGGUGAAAUGCGUAGAUAUCAGGAAGAACACCAAUGGCGAAGGCAGCUCUCUGGGACGGUACUGACGCUGAGACGCGAAAGCGUGGGGAGCGAACAGG